GCCUAAGCUAGAGCCAGUGGGCCUCCAGCCUAGCAGAGCUUUCACCAUGGCCCUCAGCGAUGCUGACAUGCAAAAGCAGAUUAAGCAUAUGGUGGCUUUUAUUGAACAAGAAGCCAAUGAGAAAGCAGAGGAAAUAGAUGUGAAGGCAGAGGAAGAGUUCAACAUUGAGAAAGGUCAUCUUGUGCAAACCCAAAGACUGAAGAUUAUGGAAUACUACGAGAAGAAAGAAAAGCAGAUUGAGCAGCAGCAGAAAAUCCAGAUGUCUAAUUUGAUGAAUCAAGCAAGGCUCAAAGUCCUCAGAGCAGGAGAUGACCUUAUUACAGACCUACUAAAUGAAGCAAAACAGAGACUCAGCAAAGUGGUAAAAGAUACAACCAGGUACCAGGUGCUGCUGGAUGGACUGGUCCUUCAGGGUUUGUACCAACUGUUAGAGCCCCGAAUGACUGUUCGUUGCAGGAAGCAGGAUUUCCCUCUGGUAAAGGCCGCAGUGCAAAAAGCGAUUCCUAUGUACAAAAUUGCCACCAAAAAAGAUGUUGAUGUCCAAUUUAAUCAGGAGGCCUACCUGCCUGAGGAAAUAGCUGGUGGAGUUGAGAUCUACAAUGGGGAUCGUAAAAUAAAAGUUUCCAAUACCCUAGAAAGCUGGCUGGAUCUCAUAGCCCAGCAGAUAAUGCCAGAAGUACGGGGAGCCUUAUUUGGUGCAAAUGCCAACAGGAAGUUUUUGGACUAAACCUUUGGGUGAGGCAGAGUUUAUCCACUGCUCUCCUGCUGUAAUGCGAAAGUUUCUGA